rnacentral:rRNA from 1 species
GAUGAACGCUGGCAGCAUGCUUAACACAUCAGCGAUUGAUUGGUGGCGGACGGGUGAGUAACGCGUAACUAGCUUGCCUCCCAGGUAGGGACAACAUUUGGAAACGAAUGCUAAUACCAACUCCAGUGGGAGGGCUUUGCGUCCCAUUAGCUAGUUGGAGAGGUAACGGCUCACCAAGGCGAUGAUGGGUAGCCGGCCUGAGAGGGUGAUCGGCCACAAGGGCACAGAGAAACGGCCAGUACGCAUACGGGAGCCAGCAGUGGGGAAUAUUGGACAAUGGGCCACAGUCUGAACAAGCAAUUCUGUGUGUAAGAUGAUGUUUUCGGAAUGAAAAGGGCUUGCAGUUGGGAAGCGGUACCAACAGAAGAAGCGACGGCUAACUACGUGCCAGCAGCCGCGGUAAUUC